CAACAGAUAUUUUGGGGGGGGGUUGUAAGUUUUAAAGCUGCUACCGACCUCUCGCUUUUACAAAGUUUUUUUCCAUGUUUUUUUUUUUUUUGCUCUUUAACCCAAUAGGAAAGCUGUAUAUGACCUUUUCAUUUUGGACUGUUAACAUUCAAAUUAUGAUGGACUUGUUUCCUUGUUUAUGUGAAUUACAACAUCAUUAGCUGCAACAUCUGCCUGUUCUGUAAAACUGGUAGCUCAACAACAGCAUCCUGAGGGCAAUUAAGUGACAAAUAUUGUGCAAGAACAGCAAUAUUACAACCCUGACAAUUUCCACUUCUUAGAAUGUUUACUGCCAAUUAUCACACAUGAAACAAGAAAUAAUAUUCUGUACUAAUACUUCUGUACUAGCCAAUACACAGUGAAUAAAUAUUAUCUGAAAGUCAGGUUAUUGUUGUUUAUCAGCACAAUACAAAAAGAUUAGACAUAUUCCAGUUAAGACUAGAAUAUCAGGAUUUAUGUAAAUUUACCUCAAUAAUAUGAAUGUUCAGGUUAAGAUUGUACAGUGAUAUUUAUUAUGUAAGUUUAACUGAUUAAAUUUAAUGACUCUGCACUGCAAUAUUAUUUAUUAUUUAGAUUUACAUCAUUAUUAUAAUAUUUAGGGUCAGACCCUACAGUAUUAAGAUUAAGAAAUCAAAUAUUGUAUAAAAUGUAAAUACACUGAACUCAUUUGGAGAUAUUUAAGUGAGACUCUACAAUAUUCUUUGACACAAAUCUAUCUAAAUCAAAAUUUUAAUCAUUUUUACUCCAAACAUUUACUGGACUGAUUUAAAUAUUAAAAUCACUCCUUUCUAAUUCUCUGCUGUACGUUCAAACCUGAGGCCUUAAAUAGAAACACACAAGUAUCUGAUUGAAGGAACUUCUGCAGAGUCCUGGUUCCAGAACAUGAUGAUAGAAUUAUAGACAAACUUUAACAAAAGCUGCCUGAGAGUUUACAGGUUUUUAUGUUGGAUUUCUUCAGUAAUUUAAUGAGUUAUCAGCAAAAAUCAAGUGUUCAUUUGAUGAACUUCAUUUCCUAAAACAUCCAGAAUUGGAGCUCAUAUCUUUGGCAGCUGUAAAGUUUCUGCUCCUUCAAAGAUCACAACACAAUGAAUGAAUUCCUAAAACACUCUCAAUGCUGGAGAGCGUUUGUGAUGCUGAAGCAGUGAUCAGUUUUUCUGUUUCUUCUCUGGAGAUGCACAAUGAGGGACGUCUGCAGCGACUGAGAAAGAGUCUCACCACAUCCUGACAUGAGAAAAAAGACUUUAUUGAAGACUACAAUGAGAAAAACUAUCAGACAGCAGACGGCUGCAUUCAAGUCUGUAGCUGCUGAAUUCAUGGAUGAAUCAUCUGGCACUAGAGAGGAAGACCAUCAAACAUCCACGUCAGCUGAUGGAGGUCCAAGAGGCUCACCCAACAAACAACCUACAGAGUGAAGACCUCCAAUCUGAUUGGACGGCCUCCUAUUCAGCCACGUGUGAACAAAUGCCUCUAAGUUGAUUUGUUUUCUAAAAUAAAUCUAGUUUGUGUCCUAA